AUGAACGCUGGCGGCGUGCCUAAUACAUGCAAGUAGCACGCUGAAGGAGGAGCUUGCUCUUCUGGAUGAGUUGCGAACGGGUGAGUAACGCGUAGGUAACCUGCCUGGUAGCGGGGGAUAACUAUUGGAAACGAUAGCUAAUACCGCAUGACAACAGUUAUUGCAUGAUAACUGUUUAAAAGGGGCAACUGCUCCACUACCAGAUGGACCUGCGUUGUAUUAGCUAGUUGGUGAGGUAACGGCUCACCAAGGCGACGAUACAUAGCCGACCUGAGAGGGUGAUCGGCCACACUGGGACUGAGACACGGCCCAGACUCCUACGGGAGGCAGCAGUAGGGAAUCUUCGGCAAUGGACGGAAGUCUGACCGAGCAACGCCGCGUGAGUGAAGAAGGUUUUCGGAUCGUAAAGCUCUGUUGUAAGAGAAGAACGAGUGUGAGAGUGGAAAGUUCACACUGUGACGGUAUCUUACCAGAAAGGGACGGCUAACUACGUG
rnacentral:rRNA from 1 species